rnacentral:rRNA from 1 species
GAUGAACGCUGGCGGCGUGCUUAACACAUGCAAGUCGAACGGAAAGGCCCAAGCUUGCUUGGGUACUCGAGUGGCGAACGGGUGAGUAACACGUGGGUGAUCUGCCCUGCACUUCGGGAUAAGCCUGGGAAACUGGGUCUAAUACCGGAUAGGACCACAUUUUGGAUGGUGUGGUGGAAAGUUUUUCGGUGUGGGACGAGCUCGCGGCCUAUCAGCUUGUUGGUGGGGUAAUGGCCUACCAAGGCGUCGACGGGUAGCCGGCCUGAGAGGGUGUACGGCCACAUUGGGACUGAGAUACGGCCCAGACUCCUACGGGAGGCAGCAGUGGGGAAUAUUGCACAAUGGGCGCAAGCCUGAUGCAGCGACGCCGCGUGGGGGAUGACGGCCUUCGGGUUGUAAACUCCUUUCGCUAGGGACGAAGCGUUAUGUGACGGUACCUGGAGAAGAAGCACCGGCUAACUACGUG